rnacentral:rRNA from 1 species
UGAGGAAUAUUGCGCAAUGGGGGCAACCCUGACGCAGCAACGCCGCGUGUGGGAAGAAGGCUUUCGGGUUGUAAACCACUUUUGCCCGGGACGAAAGGGGGGGCCUGAAUAAGGCCACCCGAUGACGGUACCGGGAGAAUAAGCCACGGCUAACUCUGUGCCAGCAGCCGCGGUAAGACAGAGGUGGCAAGCGUUGUUCGGAGUUACUGGGCGUAAAGAGUCUGUAGGUGGUCUGUCAAGUCUUUGGUGAAAGGCCGUGGCUUAACCAUGGGAAUGCCAAAGAGACUGGCAGACUGGAGGCUGGGAGAGGGAAGCGGAAUUUCUGGUGUAGCGGUGAGAUGCGUAGAUAUCAGAAGGAAGGCCGGUGGCGAAGGCGGCUUCCUGGAACAGACCUGACACUGAGAGACGAAAGCGUGGGGAGCAAACAG